rnacentral:rRNA from 1 species
CACGUAGGGCGCAAGCGUUGUCCGGAAUUAUUGGGCGUAAAGAGCUCGUAGGCGGUCUGUUACGUCUGCUGUGAAAACCCGGGGCUUAACCCUGGGCUUGCAGUGGAUACGGGCAGACUAGAGGCAGGUAGGGGAGAAUGGAAUUCCUGGUGUAGCGGUGAAAUGCGCAGAUAUCAGGAGGAACACCUAUAGCGAAGGCAGCUUGCUGGGACGACACUGACGCUGAGGCGCGAAAGCGUGGGGAGCGAACAGG